CGCAGUGCCACCUGCAGCAUCGUGAAGGGCUUUUUCCUUUGUGGACUCAGCAUGGGUUUGUCCUUUGGAAUACCUUUCUUUUGGUGCAAUCUUGAUGUUCAGCAAUGACAGAAAACUUGAUGUUCAGCAAUGACAGAAAACACCUUGACGUUCAACAGAAAUGACUCAAGAAGCAUUGGAUUUUUUUUGCCUUGAAGAACUUUUUUGUCCUAUUUUUGAACAAAGAAGAAUCCAUGUACUUCUAGCAGAGCUGAAUUUUGACACAUCUGGGAAUAGCAACAAUUGUAGGUCUGAGUCCAAUGAUUUUGAUUGGAGGUUCAACCUUCAAGUGUAGUACAGAUCACACUUUAAAAUACCUGUCAGUUUUUGAUUUGUCUUCUGUCACCAAAAGGAAGAGCAAGUUAAAUGGUCUGUAGUAAAAAGCAAUUGAACAAAUCAUUAAAAAUAAAUAAAUAAAUAAAUAAAAAUAAAUGAAAAGA
rnacentral:lncRNA from 1 species